rnacentral:lncRNA from 1 species
GGUGGAGUUCUUUGGCAGGUAUCUUCCCCCCACCUGGAAUUCACUGACAGGGCGACCAGCUUUAGAAAAUGAAAUCUCAUGAGGGAGAACUGGAGAGAGAGAUCUCUAAGGUUCAGGGCAUGGUGUGUGAGUUGCGGGCAGGGUUUUCUCGAGCGCUGCUGGAGCUGAAUCAGAUUCAGCAGGGAGACACUGAGCUGCAGAGCCAGCUGGAGGACACAAGACAUGGCUGCAACAAGCGCUCCCUUCACCUGGAGAGUCUGGUGCUGUCCCUCAAGGAGGAGCUGGAGGAGGUACGUUGUCAGUUUCGUCAACUCUGUGAGGCACAAGAGAGAACGCCACCAGAGAAUCCAGGAAGAGAGAAUAAUGGAGUGGACGACAGUAGCGGACAGAGUAAUGGUGCUGCAGAGGCUCCUCCCCUUUCAUCUGUGGGUGGAGAUUUCCUCAUACACUGUUACCUGCAGGGAUUACAGGUGUGGCAGUGGGCCAGACAGAAUUCAGGCAGGAGGCGGGGUGUGGUGGAGAUGCUGUUGCAGUCUGAACGUGAUUAUGUGUCUAGUUUGAAUCAGCUCUACGAGAAAUACAAAUCUGCUGAGCAAAAUGUGGCGUUUGUAAAGCACAUUGAUCAGAUGCUACAGCGCCACCUGCUGUUCCGUAACACCCUAGAAGAACGACUGACCACCGAUGAGAGAAGCUGUGCUGCUGGGGAUGCUUUCCUCAACCUCAUUGGACAGAACAAUAAGUCUUUCUCUGAUGCAUAUCUUGGAUACGUGGCCAGUCUGGGAACUGUCCUGAGAACAGAGAUCAGUACAACUUCACCCCACAGCGACCCACAAAAUGCACAGGCAAAAUAUUAUGAAAAAUGUUUUAAAUUAUAAUAAUAUUUUACAAUAUUACUGUUUUUAUAAUUUCAUUGUUUGUCCUUCUGCAGAAGUCUUUCUCUGAUGCAUAUCUUGGAUACGUGGCCAGUCUGGGAACUGUCCUGAGAACAGAGAUCAGUACAACUUCACCCCACAGCGACCCACAAAAUGCACAGGCAAAAUAUUAUGAAAAAUGCUUAAGCACACAGUGAUGCCUGUUUUGUGUUUAGCUCAGCAGUAGUGAAAGGACUAUCAAAUGAAUCUACAGCAACCAGGCCCAGUUAUAUCUAAGUGCAAGUAUAUUGAUUUUUACUUUUGCAUAAUAUUGGUUUCAUGUGUUUAUGUUUUUAUGCUAGGAGGAGAAAGAGAGCUUCAGACUGCUUUCAUUACUAUUUGCUCCUGUUUCCCGCAUCCACAAAUACCUGAACAUCAUACAGGUGAGUCACAUACUUGAAGAAUAAGCUUGAUAUAAAUGAAUGAAAAAUAUGUUAGCAGUAACACACACACACAAUGCUUGUUAUUUUGAUCUACAAAGGCAUGUAAAUCCUUUAGUUGAGACUAUUCUAGCUGCAUGAACUUCUGUGUAACCCGUGAUGUGUUUGUUUUAUGUAAACAGCAGAGAUUUUCAUAGGAAAAAAAGGGGAUUGUAAACUUUUGGGUCUGGAAAUCCAUGAUUACUGGAUCCUGUAUGCAUUGUAAAAAUAAUUUUAAAACAUUCAGUAAUAAAAAGAUCUGAUUUAUGCAGUGAUUAAUGCUAUAGCUAUCACAACAUACCCUACUGUAACUUAAAACAGCCGUUAUUAUUAUUAUUACGUUAUGAUGAAUUUAGGUCAAGAUACUUUUGAACCUCUAAAUGCAGAAAUAUGGAAAAUGUUGUGAUGCUAGACGUGACACUGGGGUUGUAGCCCAUGAGUGGGCAGUGAAUGCUAGAGCAUAGUCGAGCAGGGUCCAGAUGGCAUUUACCGCACUGCUGAACUCAUGCCACCUUUGCACACUACUGCACUACUGUCUGAGACAAGUAGUGCAAGCAGUUCAGUACAUACAGUAUACAUUUUCUUCCUAAAAUGCAGUUUGCUAUUUUCGAAGUGAUUUUAAUUUGCAGUGUUCCUACAAAAGAUAUUGCAUCUUCUCUAUUGCAUGCCCUGCUUCCACCAGGCUCUGAUACGCAGUUCUGGCUCUGGACAUGCAGACUGGUGUUCACUGCAGGAGAGUGAGCGGGUGCUGUGGG